GGCGGGGCUGUAGCGCUCGGCAGCAGGGCCUGGAGGACAGCGGUGGCAGCGGUGACGAGCGGCACCGACAGGCUGUGCGGGACGCGGACGCCGGGACACGGGAGCACAGAGGUUGACUCUUCACCACACUGAAACCAUUAGGAAAAAUCCUUGUGGUUAACAGCAGAGGCUUCAGAGUGUGUAACCUGUACUCAGGCCUAGAAAUUAUUUUAAAUGGCGACUGAUACGUCUCAAGGUGAACUCGUCCAUCCUAAGGCACUCCCACUUAUAGUAGGAGCUCAGCUGAUCCACGCAGACAAGUUAGGUGAGAAGGUAGAAGAUAGCACCAUGCCGAUUAGAAGAGCUGUUAACUCUACCCGGGAAACACCACCCAAAAGCAAGCCUGCCGAAGGGGAGGAAGAAAAGCCAGAACCAGAUAUAAGUUCAGAAGAAUCUGUCUCCACUGUAGAAGAACAGGAGAAUGAAAUUCCACCUGCUACAGCUAGUGAGACGGAACAACCCAAAGGCGAGCCUGAGACUGAAGAGAAAGAAGAAAACACGUCUUCUGAGGAAGCCAAGAAGGAUGAGAAAGAUCAGACUAAAGAAAAGGAGAAGAAAGUGAAAAAAACGAUACCGUCCUGGGCUACCCUUUCUGCCAGCCAGCUAGCCAGGGCCCAGAAACAAACACCGAUGGCUUCCUCACCACGUCCCAAGAUGGAUGCGAUCCUAACUGAGGCCAUUAAGGCAUGCUUCCAGAAGAGUGGUGCAUCAGUGGUUGCUAUUCGAAAAUACAUCAUCCAUAAGUACCCUUCUCUGGAGCUGGAGAGGAGGGGCUAUCUCCUUAAACAAGCACUGAAAAGAGAGUUAAACAGAGGAGUCAUCAAACAGGUAAAAGGAAAAGGUGCAUCUGGAAGUUUUGUUGUGGUACAAAAAUCAAGAAAAACACCUCAGAAAUCUAGAAACAGAAAGAAGAGGAGUUCUGCAGUGGAUCCAGAACCACAAGUAAAAUUGGAGGAUGUCCUCCCAUUGGCCUUCACUCGCCUUUGUGAACCUAAAGAGGCUUCCUACAGUCUCAUCAGGAAAUAUGUGUCUCAGUAUUACCCCAAGCUUAGAGUGGACAUCAGGCCCCAGCUGUUGAAGAAUGCUCUACAGAGAGCAGUAGAAAGAGGCCAGUUAGAACAAAUAACUGGCAAAGGUGCUUCGGGGACAUUCCAGCUGAAGAAGUCAGGGGAGAAGCCCCUGCUUGGUGGAAGCCUGAUGGAAUAUGCAAUCUUAUCUGCCAUUGCUGCCAUGAAUGAGCCGAAGACCUGCUCCACAACUGCUCUGAAGAAGUAUGUCCUAGAGAACCACCCAGGGACCAAUUCUAACUAUCAAAUGCAUUUGCUGAAGAAAACUUUGCAGAAGUGCGAAAAGAAUGGGUGGAUGGAGCAGAUCUCUGGUAAGGGAUUCAGUGGCACCUUCCAGCUCUGUUUUCCCUAUUACCCCAGCCCAGGAGUUCUAUUUCCAAAGAAAGAGCCAGAUGGUUCUGAGGAUGAGGAUGAGGAUGAAGAUGAGGAUGAGUCAUCAGAAGAAGACUCUGAGGAUGAGGAGCCUCCACCUAAGAGAAGGUUGCAGAAGAAAACACCAGCCAAGUCCCCAGGGAAGGCUGUAUCUAUGAAGCAGAGAGGGUCCAAGCCUGCACCUAAAGUCCCAGCUGCUCCACGCGGGAAAGCUAGACCUCUGCCCAAGAAAACACCUGCUAAGGCCAAAACUCCUGCCAAGAAAGCCAGACCCUCACCCUCAGUUAUCAAGAAACCUAGUGGGAGCUCCUCAAAAAAGCCUACAGCCAAUGUAAGAAAGGAAGUAAAAUUGCCUGGCAAGGGCAAAUCUACCAUGAAGAAGUCUUUCAAGGCAAAAAAGUAAAUUUUAUAGGAAAAAGUAUCAUGAUGAAAUUCAAAAUCUAAAUAUUUUAUAAGAUUUCAGAUUCAUCUGUGGGUCGUCGUCCCCCCUUCCAUGGCACUUUUGAUAUCAAGUAAGUGUCUUCCUUUUUGAAAUAGUAAAAAGAAAAGGAAAAAAAAAAAAGCAAAUGAAGCCCUACUACCUAACCCUUUUUAAUUUGUAUUUUGUUUUAGUAUUGUGAAGUUGUGUUAAAUAGCACUAGCUUUCUACUUGAGAAAUACCAGUUUCUGGUUAUCAUUUAUCUUCCCCGUGGCACUUGACAUUUUAAUUGUCUUAAACUUUCUGGUGUGCAUCUUCUGGCCCCUCUAGUGCUGCCAGAGCAAAAGUGUUGUUUUAUAUUCAUUCCACUCGCACUGUCUCCUGGGAUCUCUUCUGCAGCUUCAGUGUGUCUGGGAUAUGGACUUGAGAAAGUGACUUGGAUUCGAUCAUAAUCAUGUGUGGUCCCAUCAUGAGCUCAUUGGAAUUGGUGUUGCAUGUAGGCAAUCUUUCCUGUUGUAAAUCUUCCUUUUUUUAUGUACAUAUAUUUUGAAAAAUAUGAAUAAACAUGAAGUUUUAAAAGCU